UACGUAUGGUGCAAGCGUUAUCCGGAUUUACUGGGCGUAAAGGGAGCGCAGGCGGCGCGCCAAGUCUGAUGUGAAACCCCGGGGCUCAACCCCGGGCAUGCAUUGGAAACUGGCGGGCUGGAGUGCCGGAGAGGUAAGCGGAAUUCCUAGUGUAGCGGUGAAAUGCGUAGAUAUUAGGAGGAACACCAGUGGCGAAGGCGGCUCACUGGACGGCAACUGACGCUGAGGCUCGAAAGCGUGGGGAGCAAACAGG
rnacentral:rRNA from 1 species